rnacentral:lncRNA from 1 species
AUAACUGCAGUGUCUCUGGGAGUCGAUUCCUGUCUUCGAGUCAAUUUCAGCACUUGAGGAAUCGAGGAAUCGACUCUUUGGAGUCGACUCCCUAAUACAUAAACAACGGCUUUCGAUCUGCCUGUCAACAAAACUGCUCAUGCGGCUACUUUCUCGCUGCUUUCGCCAAUUUCAGGAAGAGCUGCAACAAGUUCUGCAUUUGUGCAUUACUCACAGAAUUUGUCAAUGCAGAAAUGUGGCUUCCAAUGGCCAUCCUAUCACGAUGUAUCACCUGCCACACCUUUUUGGAGCAAGAGAUUACCUAAAGCCAGUUUCUCAGGAGGCUAUAGAACCCUGUCAAGAGGAAUAUCUUCUGAGAGGGCCAUACUCAUGUGAUGAGAUCCACAAACAACACCUGAUGAAGCUUGAUGUUUUUGAGGAGCUGUAUGGUUUCAAUUCUGUAAGCAACAAUUGUAACAACAUACAUCACUUGAAAUAUAUACAUUUUAUUAUUUGC